rnacentral:rRNA from 1 species
CCCGCUGAACUUAAGCAUAUCAAUAAGCGGAGGAAAAGAAACCAACAGGGAUUGCCCCAGUAACGGCGAGUGAAGCGGCAACAGCUCAAAUUUGAAAUCUGGCCUCGGCCCGAGUUGUAAUUUGCAGAGGAUGCUUCUGGCGCGGCGCCUUCCGAGUUCCCUGGAACGGGACGCCACAGAGGGUGAGAGCCCCGUAUGGUCGGACGCCAAGCCAGUGUGAAGCUCCUUCGACGAGUCGAGUAGUUUGGGAAUGCUGCUCUAAGCGGGAGGUAUACGUCUUCUAAAGCUAAAUACCGGCCAGAGACCGAUAGCGCACAAGUAGAGUGAUCGAAAGAUGAAAAGCACCUUGAAAAGGGGGUUAAACAGUACGUGAAAUUGUUGAAAGGGAAGCGCCUGUGACCAGACUUGCGCCGGGCGGAUCAUCCAGCGUUCUCGCUGGUGCACUCCGCCCGGCUCAGGCCAGCAUCGGUUCUGGCAGGGGGAUAAAGGCGGCGGGAAUGUGGCUCCCCCGGGAGUGUUAUAGCCCGCCGUGUAAUGCCCCUGCCGGGACCGAGGUUCGCGCAUCUGCAAGGAUGCUGGCGUAAUGGUCACCAGCGACCCGUCUUGAAACACGG